AUCAGUAUAGAUAAAUAUUACCUGAUGUGUUGAGGUACGCCAAACAAACUAAAUGUGCAGGCUGCAGGCGAGAUCUAGAGGACUGAACGGAUUCAUAUGAACUUUCAUGAUUCUAUGUUUUUUUAUUGAUCUUAAAACUACACAGAACAAAGCACAGAAUCAUUAGCUUCCUGUGGUAGAGGUUAUGUAUAAUGAAAUAGUUCAGUAUGGAUUCAGCAGUUUGUGUAAUGUCGCUCUCAGACAUUCAAACAGGUUUAUUAUUAAUGGGGAACUCGUAAAACCUAUAAUGAUGUUUAUUGUUUUGUAAGGAUAUUUUGUACUUUUUAAUUAAUGUAUUAUAAAAGUCAUACAUGUUGUACACAGGUGAAUGAAACAUGUGUAACUAACAUAUCCCCAUGAAAGCCACCAACUUCAUAACUGACAUUAACACAAUUAUUUUGUAUUACAGGUUAUGUUUAAAUAUGCUAAUAAGGCAUCAUUCAAUGCUAACUGUUGUUGUGCAAACACAAACCGAGUGAAAUGAACUCCUGGCUGCGAUCAGAGUCACGUUUUUCAGUAUUAUUAUGUAGUAGUUUCAUCCGAGAGAUUAGCUUUGGUUUAUAAUGGUGCACACAUUAGCACAGGAAGAGAAAUGAAGCUAAUAUAUCACUUUUUUUAGAAGAGAUUUCAAAAAUUAAUUAACAAAACAUGGAGCGCAAUAAGAAUAUGAAAUAUAAAACAUGCAUCUGGUUAAACAGGCUGAGCUGUGCGGGUUAAAGAAGCACAAAUGUGCGGAGAUGAUGGGGAUACAGAGGUGUUCAGGUUCACUCUGCAGAGAGGAUGGAGCUACAGAGGUGUUCAGGUUCACUCUGCAGAGAGGAUGGAGAUACAGAGGUGUUCAGGUUCACUCUGCGGAGAUGAUGGAGAUACAGAGGUGUUCAGGUUCACUGCAGAGAGGAUGGAGAUACAGAGGUGUUCAGGUUCACUCUGCAGAGAGGAUGGAGCUACAGAGGUGUUCAGGUUCACUCUGCAGAGAGGAUGGAGAUACAGAGGUGUUCAGGUUCACUCUGCGGAGAUGAUGGAGAUACAGAGGUGUUCAGGUUCACUGCAGAGAGGAUGGAGAUACAGAGGUGUUCAGGUUCACUCUGCAGAGAGGAUGGAGAUACAGAGGUGUUCAGGUUCACUCUGCGGAGAUGAUGGAGAUACAGAGGUGUUCAGGUUCACUCUGCAGAGAGGAUGGAGAUACAGAGGUGUUCAGGUUCACUGCAGAGAGGAUGGAGAUACAGAGGUGUUCAGGUUCACUCUGCAGAGAGGAUGGAGAUACAGAGGUGUUCAGGUUCACUCUGCAGAGAGGAUGGAGAUACAGAGGUGUUCAGGUUCACUCUGCAGAGAGGAUGGAGAUACAGAGGUGUUCAGGUUCACUCUGCAGAGAGGAUGGAGAUACAGAGGUGUUCAGGUUCACUCUGCAGAGAUGAUGGAGAUACAGAGGUGUUCAGGUUCACUCUGCAGAGAGGAUGGAGAUACAGAGGUGUUCAGGUUCACUCUGCAGAGAGGAUGGAGAUACAGAAGUGUUCAGGUUCACUCUGCAGAGAGGAUGGAGAUACAGAGGUGUACAGGUUCAUGGUGCAGAGAGGAUGGAGAUACAGAGGUGUUCAGGUUCACUGCAGAGAGGAUGGAGAUACAGAGGUGUUCAGGUACACUGCAGAGAGGAUGGAGAUACAGAGGUGUUCAGUUUCACUCUGCAGAGAGGAUGGAGAUACAGAAGUGUUCAGGUUCACUCUGCGGAGAUGAUGGAGAUACGGAGGUGUUCAGGUUCACUCUGCAGAGAGGAUGGAGAUACAGAGGUGUUCAGGUUCACUCUGCAGAGAGGAUGGAGAUACAGAGGUGUUCAGGUUCACUCUGCAGAGAGGAUGGAGAUACAGAUGUGUUCAGGUUCACUCUGCAGAGAGGAUGGAGAUACAGAGGUGUUCAGGUUCACUCUGCAGAGAGGAUGGAGAUACAGAGGUGUUCAGGUUCACUCUGCAGAGAUGAUGGAGAUACAGAGGUGUUCAGGUUCACUCUGCAGAGAGGAUGGAGAUACAGAGGUGUUCAGGUUCACUCUGCAGAGAUGAUGGAGAUACAGAGGUGUUCAGGUUCACUCUGCAGAGAGGAUGGAGAUACAGAGGUGUUCAGGUUCACUCUGCAGAGAGGAUGGAGAUACAGAGGUGUUCAGGUUCACUCUGCAGAGAGGAUGGAGAUACAGAGGUGUUCAGGUUCACUCUGCAGAGAGGAUGGAGAUACAGAGGUGUUCAGGUUCACUCUGCAGAGAGGAUGGAGAUACAGAGGUGUUCAGGUUCACUCUGCAGAGAGGAUGGAGAUACAGAGGUGUUCAGGUUCACUCUGCAGAGAGGAUGGAGAUACAGAGGUGUUCAGGUUCACUCUGCAGAGAUGAUGGAGAUACAGAGGUGUUCAGGUUCAUGGUGCAGAGAGGAUGGAGAUACAGAGGUGUUCAGGUUCACUCUGCGGAGAUGAUGGAGAUACAGAGGUGUUCAGGUUCACUCUGCGGAGAUGAUGGAGAUACAGAGGUGUUCAGGUUCACUCUGCAGAGAGGAUGGAGAUACAGAGGUGUUCAGGUUCACUCUGCAGAGAGGAUGGAGAUACAGAGGUGUUCAGGUUCACUCUGCAGAGAUGAUGGAGAUACAGAGGUGUUCAGGUUCACUCUGCGGAGAUGAUGGAGAUACAGAGGUGUUCAGGUUCACUCUGCAGAGAUGAUGGAGAUACAGAGGUGUUCAGGUUCACUCUGCAGAGAGGAUGGAGAUACAGAGGUGUUCAGGUUCACUCUGCAGA